ensembl:lncRNA
CCUGAGGGGGAGACGUCAGCCAAAAGCUUUCACGUGUCCAGGUCCGAGGGGACCAAACCAGAGAGCUUGAGCUCUGAGACCGCAGUUUGGAGACAGUUGAGCGUCGUGUGCUUCCGGGCAGGAGGCUCACUCUCUGUAAAGGCAGCAGGUGCAUCAGGCUGCAGCCUGGGAAGUGGGGCUUCCAGAUUCUACUGCGAAAAGAGAGCGUGAUUGACAAACACGGAGCCUCCCGCACGCAGGGUUCGUCUUCCUGGUGUUCCAUGGCAGUCUCCAUCGGAAUGUGUUCACCACGUACACUAAGGGUCAUUUUUCAGCCAAAAGGCAUUUCUUCAUCGUUUCUGUCGGAUGGGAAUGCGGACCUUUGGAAGGUUUUUGUGCAUAAUGGUGAUGAGUCUGGGGAAAUGGAGCACCUCCUGGUGUUAGACGCAAAGUCGGCCAAUAUUUUGAGUCCUUGCGUGAAGAACACAAGGGAGUUGCUGGCCUCGGCGGCUCGUCCGGUCAACAUUUUGCUUUGUGGAAAACUAGGGCUCCUACCACUGGACUCAGCUCAACCAGUGCUCAGUGGUCACACUCGGUGUGCUUAGCACUUCUAGAGGCAGCGGAAGAAAUCAACGUGAAGAUGACCUCGAUCUUCCUGAAGCAAGGAUUCAAGCAGCAUUCCUAGGAAACCACUCACUGCGGCCAGCAUGUCCUGCUGCAGCCCAGCUCCAUUCCUGUCCUUCUGUGGGCUCCCGUAGGGCGGGGCUGAAGCAUGGAAACUACGCCCGGCACUGGUCUGCUGGCUGGCUCAUCUUCAGUAGGUUUUCUUCACGUUGAUUUCCUCCGCUGCCUCUAGAAGUGCUAAGCACACCGAAAGCCAUCACUUAGCGCUCGCUGAGCUGAGUCCAGUGGUAGGAGCCCUAGCUUCCCAUGAAGCAAGCUACAAGGUAGAGAGAAUCAACACUUCACCGUGUUUCUUCCUUUGAAUCACACAUUUUGUCUACACAUCUGAUCUCCAGCAGGCUUUUGAAGUCAGUCCUGGGGACUUUAAGCCACAGGAUCAAGACUCCUUAAGCAAAAAGUUGGUUUUGUUUUCAAGAGGAACGUCUAGGCUCCUGGGUGGUGACUCUGCCGGCCCCCGACGGUGUCACUGUGCGAGCACCACCUGCGUUCAGAGAGAGAGGUGAACAGCUGGGCUUUGGGGAAGACCUCGUCCACAGAACCGGCUCACGGGGAAUCCUGACCCGGUUCGCGUGGAGGCGGUCGGCGUCCACCUCCGCAGGACAGACGCGCUUCGCACGCCUUACCUGCGGCCGUGCUCUUGGAUCCAGCGCCUGGUGCGCGCACUCUUGUGAAAACGCGCCGGCAGUUCUGUGCCCUGCAACGGCAGUGGAGCGGUUGAGACUGGCGGAAUGGCUGCUUUCCGGGCGGUCGAUAAACC